ACCAGGAUGGCUGAGUGGUGAAGGUGUUGGGCUUAAAAUCCAGUGGACAUAUGUCAGUGUGGGUUUGAGCCCCACUUCUGGUA